AACCAAUGGUGAGGGCCCUUUCUCAAUAAAUCCUUGUAUCUCUCCCAUGCAUCAUAGAGUGUUAAUAGGUCAAUCUACACAAAAGAAGAGAUAUCAUUCCUCAACUU
rnacentral:snoRNA from 1 species